GUUGCUUGUUGGCAUAGGUUUCUUCAGGCUUCUGUUCACUGCUGGAGUAGAUGCAAGUCCCACAGAUUUGAAUCUCAGCCAUACUGACUCUUCUGUACAAUUAGUAAUACUCAAAGAAAGGAAGAAUCCAUGAUUCCCUUCCCCAUGCUGCAGCUCAAACGUGAGAGAUGCAAACUGUGGGCAUGCAAAUCAACAUACAAGAAAGCUUAUUUUUUACAAGGUCCUCUUGAUGCCCAGAUACCUAUUGGAGGACCCUAGAUUCUACCAGAUAUCAUCUGCAAUUUGGUAACAACUGGGCUGGAAUAAAAUGCUAAUAAGCAGUAAGAUUUGCAGAAGAAUAAAAAAAGUGUA